UAGGGGAACAUGACGGUGUCAGAAUAUGCCCGUAAGUUCCUUGAGUUGGGCUAAUAUUCCCCUGAGACAUUGAUGGAUGAGGGUAGAAAGGCUAGGAGGUUCCAGUGGGGCCUCCACCUAGAGAUCAAGCAACAUCUAUUUGUACUGAAGCUCAAGACAUACUCAGUUGUCCUGGCCAAGGCACAGUUAGUUGAGAGGAG
rnacentral:lncRNA from 1 species